rnacentral:rRNA from 1 species
AUCGAACGCUGGCGGCAGGCCUAACACAUGCAAGUCGAGCGGAGGGGCGGACGGGUGAGUAAUAUAGGGGGCUCUCCCCGAUAGAGGGGAAUAACGUUAGGAAACGGGCGCUAAUACCGCAUACUGUAAGAUGAACCUAUGUCGGAUUAGCUAGUUGGUGGGGUAAUGGCCUACCACGGCGACGAUACGUAAUUGGUCUGAGAGGAUGAUCAGUUGACUUGGAACAUAGACACUGUCCAGCGGCCUAGGGUAGGCAGGGGUGGGGAAGAGUGGGCAAUGGGCUAAAGGCUGAAACCGCCAUGCCGCGUGUGUGCAGGAGGGCUGCAGGUUUUAGAGCAGUUUAAGUUGGGCGGCGGUACCUUCAGAAUAAGCACCGGCUAACUUCGUGCCAGCAGCCGCGGUAAUUC